rnacentral:rRNA from 1 species
CACGUAGGCGGAUAUUUAAGUCAGGGGGUGAAAUCCCAGAGCUCAACUCUGGAACUGCCUUUGAUACUGGGUAUCUUGAGUAUGGAAGAGGUAAGUGGAAUUCCGAGUGUAGAGGUGAAAUUCGUAGAUAUUCGGAGGAACACCAGUGGCGAAGGCGGCUUACUGGUCCAUUACUGACGCUGAGGUGCGAAAGCGUGGGGAGCAAACA